rnacentral:tRNA from 1 species
CAUUGCUCAGUUGGUAAAGCACAAAGCUCUCAACCUUGCAGACGUGGGUUCAAGCCCCAUGAUGA